GACGAACGCUGGCGGCGUGCUUAACACAUGCAAGUCGAGCGGAGAGGCCCGGUACUUGUGCCGUGCUCGAGAGGCGCGCGGGUGAGUAUAACGUGAGUAACAUCUCCUUGACUGUGGGGUAACAUAAGGGAAAAGGAACUCAUACCGGGUAUGAAAACCUGAUACAAGGGGGUGAAGGGUAAGUUUCGGCAGUGGGUCAUGGAAACACGGCUUCUCGUUGUGUUAGUUAGGUGGUGAGGUAAAGACUCACUAAGGGGAUGAUACAUAGCCGACCUGAAAGGGUGGUCGGCCACAUUGGGACUGAGACACGGCCCAAACUCCUACGGGAGGCAGCAGUAGGGAAUCUUCGGCAAUGGACGAAAGUCUGACCGAGCAACGCCGCGUGAGUGAAGAAGGUUUUCGGAUCGUAAAACUCUGUUGGUAGAGAAGAACGUUGGUGAGAGUGGAAAGCUCAUCAAGUGACGGUAACUACCCAGAAAGGGACGGCUAACUACGUG
rnacentral:rRNA from 1 species